UACAGAGGGUGCGAGCGUUAAUCGGAAUUACUGGGCGUAAAGCGCGCGUAGGCGGCUUUGCAAGUCGGGUGUGAAAUCCCCAGGCUUAACCCGGGAACUGCGUCCGAUACUGGUUGGGCUUGAAUCCGGGAGAGGGAUGUGGAAUUCCAGGUGUAGCGGUGAAAUGCGUAGAUAUCUGGAGGAACACCGGUGGCGAAGGCGGCAUCCUGGACCGGUAUUGACGCUGAGGCGCGAAAGCGUGGGGAGCAAACAGG
rnacentral:rRNA from 1 species